UAGGGAAUCUUCGGCAAUGGACGAAAGUCUGACCGAGCAACGCCGCGUUAGUGAAGAAGGUUUUCGGAUCGUAAAACUCUGUUGUUAGAGAAGAACAAGGACGUUAGUAACUGAACGUCCCCUGACGGUAUCUAACCAGAAAGCCACGGCUAACUACGUGCCAGCAGCCGCGGUAAUACGUAGGUGGCAAGCGUUGUCCGGAUUUAUUGGGCGUAAAGCGAGCGCAGGCGGUUUCUUAAGUCUGAUGUGAAAGCCCCCGGCUCAACCGGGGAGGGUCAUUGGAAACUGGGAGGCAUGAGUGCAGAAGAGGAGAGUGGAAUUCCAUGUGUAGCGGUGAAAUGCGUAGAUAUAUGGAGGAACACCAGUGGCGAAGGCGGCUCUCUGGUCUGUAACUGACGCUGAGGCUCGAAAGCGUGGGGAGCAAACAGG
rnacentral:rRNA from 1 species